CGUGAGCGAAGAAGGCCUUCGGGUCGUAAAGCUCUGUUGUUAGGGAAGAACAAGUAUCGGAGUAACUGCCGGUACCUUGACGGUACCUAACCAGAAAGCCACGGCUAACUACGUGCCAGCAGCCGCGGUAAUACGUAGGUGGCAAGCGUUGUCCGGAAUUAUUGGGCGUAGAGCGCGCGCAGGCGGUCCUUUAAGUCUGAUGUGAAAGCCCACGGCUCAACCGUGGAGGGUCAUUGGAAACUGGGGGACUUGAGUGCAGAAGAGGAGAGUGGAAUUCCACGUGUAGCGGUGAAAUGCGUAGAGAUGUGGAGGAACACCAGUGGCGAAGGCGACUCUCUGGUCUGUAACUGACGCUGAGGCGCGAAAGCGUGGGGAGCAAACAGGAUUAGAUACCCUGGUAGUCCACGCCGUAAACGAUGAGUGCUAAGUGUUAGAGGGUUUCCGCCCUUUAGUGCUGCAGCUAACGCAUUAAGCACUCCGCCUGGGGAGUACGGCCGCAAGGCUG
rnacentral:rRNA from 1 species